UCCAAAUCAUAAAUGAAGAUUGCACUAUGCUGAUGUAUGUGUUUUGUUGAUUCCAGGUCACAGGCAUUCUGGUGUUCACUCCUAGAGGGCAGCAGAGGCUUCUGUUGUAACCUGUAUGGUGAGAGCUGCUGUGACAGAGAAGAAAACCGUAUUCAUGGAAAAAUGAGCCCGAGCUUGUAUAAUGUAGAGAUGAAAUGUGUGGUGAAUACACUCACAAGAUAAAACAAAGGAAACAGCUUAUUUUGAGAAGAUGGAGAAGAAAAACCAAUAAACACCAUUUCCAUAUUAA